GCAACUUGUAACGCGGCAACUUCAUAUGUUUCUUGCCAGAUAUUUGAAUAGCAUUGAAGGUGAUUUGCUACGGAGGAGUAACCCUGUACUUUUCUUCAACAUAUGCAACAUGGGUAUGCAAGCAAGUAUUAGAGGGGACCUGUCACUAAAAUUGCAGUUUGCUCAAAGCAUUGCGGUUCUGGCAGCCAUAUCUUGUAAAUUAAUAAAGAGUUACACUAUUCACAAAAAAAGGUAGGGGGAUACAGGAUCACCCCUCAGAGUUCAGAUGGACAGAGCUCGGAAAAGCCAAAAAACACAGGCAGCACCCGGAAACUAAGCAGAUUUAAACAUAACAACUGCUGCUAAGCGGCUAAAGAAAUUCCAGUUUGAUAUUUUGAUUUGUCUAGUAGCAUAGAAUGUGCUGCUUUUUGACUCAAGACUAGUUUAUUUUUGUUGAAUCUUAAAUACCCAAUUUGUAAGUGUUGUAUAUGCUUGACUGGCUCUGCAGUCUGUAUUUUGGUUUCCUAGUUGUGAUUCAGUACUGCAAGCAUUUCUAGACAAAUAUCAUUUUGAGAACAUUAAUGCAAAAAAAAGCUAUUUUAAUUUUUCA